GUGCAGGGACAAAAACGCCGGGAGUGUUUUUGAACAACGCAAAGCGUUGGCCCCGAAGGGGCGAGGCCCAUGGAUGGGCCGAGUAAACACCGUCAGG
rfam:Cronobacter sp. DJ34 Bact_A5_6, whole genome shotgun sequence.